CAUUUCUCAUUUUCUUUCUCUCUUUUCUGCUCCUGCCUCUCUCCCUCUUUUUUUCUUUAAUGAAGAUUCACAGAUCAUCAUAUGUGCUCAGUUGGAUUUCGAUUUCAUAUAUUUUUUAUUAUCAUCUGUGUUAUGGGUUCUUGUUUAAGUUUGUUAAUCAAUUUUAGGGUUAAAUUUGUUAAUCAGAUUUUAAGGUUUCAGUCUUUCAUCAUCUAAUAUGAUUCAUCUUUUGGAUUUCAGUUUAGAUCGGUAAUAUCCUUUUCAUGUUGAUGAUUAUGAUGAAAAAACGACGGUUGAUACUGUUUUCUUACCUAUCCUUGAAAGAGCCUUUAGAUAUGUUCUUCAAGGAACGCGGAUUAUGAGUUGGAGGUCUGUUUGGUGUUGAAAUCAACAAACAGAUCUACCUUCUUUCACUUUUCUAUCUAUCUUUUGAUUACUGAAUCGUUUUAUUGCAUUUAUGGUUUUUUCAAUUUUUAGUAGACGAAAUGGGUAUGUAGGAUUUAAAAUUGUUUGAUAUAUUGUUUACUGAACUUGAAUAAUAAGACUGUUGGGUUUCACGGUAAGAUAUAGUAAACCCUAAUUUGAUCAAUCUUAUAUUGUAAUUAUAUAAGCUCAAUUGUUGUUGAUUUAUUGGCCAAUUUGUAUUUGUAUUAAACUAGGAGGAUAUUCUUCUCCUAUACAAGAUUACAUUAUUCGAGAUCUUGGACUUAUAAUUUCAGAGUUAUUCAUCAAAUGUGGGUGAUAUGGAUCAGAUUGCCGAGUACAUUGGCAGAAAAGGGUCAUUGAUGAUUGUAUCUAUUCCUAAUAUCAUAUGUUGGCUAUCCAUUUCAUUUUCCAAAGAAAAUACAUAGUUCCUGGUAUUGUACUUUCUAGGUAUGGACUUGAACACGAGGAGAUCCGAUCUAUUGCAAAGCCACUUUUACUGACCUUCCUGUUGUGUCUCAUCCUAUGAAGCCAAAGUCUGUGUAUAUUGCCUUCCCUACAGGUUGCUCUCUAAAUUGGUACAACCUUUUCCAUCCAUUUUUUGUUUUAAGCUGCAACCAGUAAAUGCAUGUUUCUUGUUUUAAGCUUCAUCCAUGGAAUUACAGAGUUGUAGCUAAUUAGACACCGAUUGUUAGAUGGAUGUCUGUGAGAAGAUGCAGGGUAUUUGAUUAAGUCAUAAUAUAAAAGAUUGGGUUUGAGUUCAAUUCUGGAUUUGGCAGAAAGAUGAGUUGUGUCGUUCAGUUUUGUUGUUAAUGGAGACAAUAAGGGAGUUUGUGUUACUAUUGAUUGAGAUUUAGAUGAAGAAGGAAAUGAAUGAUGGGUUUUUUUUCUUCCGGUGAAUCAUCCAAAAAGGAGUUAUAAAGUGAUGAAAAGAGCUAAAAAGAGAAGUAUUCCAAAUAUACAAGUGCCCAAGUCCAAGAGAAGUGGAAGAAAUGUGACGAAAAGGAGCAAAACGCUCAUAAGCAAGACACGGGCCAAAUACCGAUCUUAACUCAUUCAAAUUAAGUAUUUCUCAUCCUCAUUUUGAAUAGAAUUGAAAUAUAAAAAGAAU